rnacentral:other from 1 species
UGAUCCCUGCGGUGUACGUGAUAUCUCUUUUGUACUGAGCCAACGCUUUGGUCCAGGGGGCAGUUCUCCAUGUGCGGUUUGGGCUGAGCCCAAUCGCCGGGUUGCUCCCACUUUGGAUCAAGGUUCAAGUACUUCUGAGGUACACGGCACGGCGGGGAUCUC